rnacentral:rRNA from 1 species
CCUACGGGUGGCUGCAGUGGGGAAUAUUGCACAAUGGGCGCAAGCCUGAUGCAGCCAUGCCGCGUGUGUGAAGAAGGCCUUCGGGUUGUAAAGCUCUUUCAGCGGGGAGGAAGGCGGUGAGGUUAAUAACCUCAUCGAUUGACGUUACCUGCAGAAGAAGCACCGGCUAACUCCGUGCCAGCAGCCGCGGUAAUACGGAGGGUGCAAGCGUUAAUCGGAAUUACUGGGCGUAAAGCGCACGCAGGCGGUCUGUCAAGUCGGAUGUGAAAUCCCCGGGCUCAACCUGGGAACUGCAUUCGAAACUGGCAGGCUAGAGUCUUGUAGAGGGGGGUAGAAUUCCAGGUGUAGCGGUGAAAUGCGUAGAGAUCUGGAGGAAUACCAGUGGCGAAGGCGGCCCUUUGGACAAAGACUGACGCUCAGGUGCGAAAGCGUGGGGAGCAAACAGGAUUAGAUACCCGGGUAGUC